GACGAACGCUGGCGGCGUGCUUAACACACGCAAGUCGAACGGAAAGGCCCUGCUUGCAGGGUACUCGAGUGGCGAACGGGUGAGUAACACGUGGGUGAUCUGCCCUGCACUUCGGGAUAAGCCUGGGAAACUGGGUCUAAUACCGGAUAGGAGCCAUUUUUAGUGUGAUGGUUGGAAAGUUUUUUCGGUGUAGGAUGAGCUCGCGGCCUAUCAGCUUGUUGGUGGGGUAAUGGCCUACCAAGGCGGCGACGGGUAGCCGGCCUGAGAGGGUGGACGGCCACAUUGGGACUGAGAUACGGCCCAGACUCCUACGGGAGGCAGCAGUGGGGAAUAUUGCACAAUGGGCGCAAGCCUGAUGCAGCGACGCCGCGUGGGGGAUGACGGCCUUCGGGUUGUAAACUCCUUUCGCUAGGGACGAAGCUUUUUGUGACGGUACCUAGAUAAGAAGCACCGGCUAACUACGU
rnacentral:rRNA from 1 species